rnacentral:rRNA from 1 species
GACGAACGCUGGCGGCGUGCUUAACACAUGCAAGUCGAACGGAAAGGCCCUGCUUUUGUGGGGUGCUCGAGUGGCGAACGGGUGAGUAACACGUGAGUAACCUGCCCUUGUCAUUGUGAUAAAUUCAGGAAACUGGGGCUAAUACCGGGUAUGAUCUACUGCUGCAUGGUGUGGGUUGGAAAGUUUCGGCGGUUGGGGAUGGACUCGCGGCUUAUCAGCUUGUUGGUGGGGUAGUGGCGUACCAAGGCUUUGACGGGUAGCCGGCCUGAGAGGGUGACCGGCGACAUGGCGACUGAGGUACGGACCAGACUCCUACGGGCGGCAGUGGUGGGGAAUAUUGCGGAGUGGCGGGAAGCCAGAUGUAGAAGCGCCGCGUGCGGGAUGACGGCCUUCGAGUUGUAAACCGCUUUCGCAUGUGACGAACCGUGAUUGACGGUAAUGGGUAAGAAAGCACCGGCUAACUACGUG